UGCUAUACAUGCAAGUCGAGCGGACAGAAGGGAGCUUGCUCCCGGAUGUUAGCGGCGGACGGGUGAGUAACACGUGGGUAACCUGCCUGUAAGACUGGGAUAACUCCGGGAAACCGGAGCUAAUACCGGAUAGUUCCUUGAACCGCAUGGUUCAAGGAUGAAAGACGGUUUCGGCUGUCACUUACAGAUGGACCCGCGGCGCAUUAGCUAGUUGGUGAGGUAACGGCUCACCAAGGCGACGAUGCGUAGCCGACCUGAGAGGGUGAUCGGCCACACUGGGACUGAGACACGGCCCAGACUCCUACGGGAGGCAGCAGUAGGGAAUCUUCCGCAAUGGACGAAAGUCUGACGGAGCAACGCCGCGUGAGUGAUGAAGGUUUUCGGAUCGUAAAGCUCUGUUGUUAGGGAAGAACAAGUGCAAGAGUAACUGCUUGCACCUUGACGGUACCUAACCAGAAAGCCACGGCUAACUACGUGCCAGCAGCCGCGGUAAUACGUAGGUGGCAAGCGUUGUCCGGAAUUAUUGGGCGUAAAGGGCUCGCAGGCGGUUUCUUAAGUCUGAUGUGAAAGCCCCCGGCUCAACCGGGGAGGGUCAUUGGAAACUGGGAAACUUGAGUGCAGAAGAGGAGAGUGGAAUU
rnacentral:rRNA from 1 species